rnacentral:misc_RNA from 1 species
ACUCCGUUGGUGAACCAGCAGAGGGAUCAUUACAGGACUCGCAAGACUCCUACAACCCUGUGAACUUAACUAUAAGCACGUUGCUUCGGCGGGUGUCUCGGAGAGGGUUCUCCCUCCCCGGGGCGCUAAGCCCGCCGGCAGCCUACUAUACUCUGUCUCUUUGCGUUGGCAUCUCGAGUACAAACAAACAAGUUAAAACUUUCAACAACGGAUCUCUUGGUUCUG